rnacentral:rRNA from 1 species
CCUACGGGUGGCAGCAGUGAGGAAUAUUGGUCAAUGGGCGCGAGCCGGAACCAGCCAAGUCGCGUGAGGGAUGACGGCCCUACGGGUUGUAAACCUCUUUUGCCGGGGAGCAACGGGCGCCACGUGUGGCGCCACUGAGAGUACCCGGAGAAAAAGCAUCGGCUAACUCCGUGCCAGCAGCCGCGGUAAUACGUAGGGGGCAAGCGUUAUCCGGAUUUACUGGGUGUAAAGGGAGCGUAGGCGGCGAUGCAAGUCAGAAGUGAAAGCCCGGGGCUCAACUCCGGGACUGCUUUUGAAACGGUGUUGCUAGAUUGCAGGAGAGGUAAGUGGAAUUCCUAGUGUAGCGGUGAAAUGCGUAGAUAUUAGGAGGAACACCAGUGGCGAAGGCGGCUUACUGGACUGUAAAUGACGCUGAGGCUCGAAAGCGUGGGGAGCAAACAGGAUUAGAUACCCUGGUAGUC